UACAGAGGGGGCAAGCGUUGUUCGGAAUUACUGGGCGUAAAGGGCGCGUAGGCGGCCUUCUAAGUCAGACGUGAAAUCCCUCGGCUUAACCGAGGAACUGCCUGUCAGACUGGAAGGCUUGAGACCGGGAGAGGUGAGUGGAAUUCCCAGUGUAGCGGUGAAAUGCGUAGAUAUUGGGAGGAACACCGGUGGCGAAGGCGGCAUCCUGGACCGGCAUUGACGCUGAGGAGCGAAAGCUAGGGGAGCAAACGGG
rnacentral:rRNA from 1 species